rnacentral:rRNA from 4 species
AAAACGACUCUCGGCAACGGAUAUCUCGGCUCUCGCAUCGAUGAAGAACGUAGCGAAAUGCGAUACUUGGUGUGAAUUGCAGAAUCCCGUGAACCAUCGAGUCUUUGAACGCAAGUUGCGCCCGAAGCCGUCAGGCCGAGGGCACGCCUGCCUGGGCGUCACAC